ensembl:lncRNA
GGUCUUUAGCACCUCGUCAACAGUUGGUCUGAUUGGAGACAGGCUGGGUCCAGGCUCAGGACAGUGGGAUGGUCUUUAGCACCUCGUCAACCGUUGGUCUGAUUGGAGACAGGCUGGGUCCAGGCUCAGGACAGUGGGAUGGUCUUUAGCACCUCGUCAACCGUUGGUCUGAUUGGAGACAGGCUGGGUCCAGGCUCAGGACAGAGGCUCAGGACAGUGGGAUGGUCUUUAGCACCUCGUCAACCGUUGGUCUGAUUGGAGAGAGGCUCAGGACAGUGGGAUGGUGUGGGGGUGACCAGGUAGCUGGAGGCUCAGGACAGUGGGAUGGUGUGGGGGUGACCAGGUAGCUGGAGGCUCAGGACAGUGGGAUGGUGUGGGGGUGACCAGGUAGCUGGAGGCUCAGGACAGUGGGAUGGUCUUGGGGUGACCAGGUAGCUGGAGGGUUGGAUGGUCUUGGGGUGACGAGGUAGCUGGAGGGUUGGGUGGUCUUGGGGUGAGGGUGACCAG